GACGAACGCUGGCGGCGUGCUUAACACAUGCAAGUCGAACGGAAAGGCCCUGCUUUUGUGGGUUGCUCGAGUGCCGAACGGGUGAGUAACACGUGAGUAACCUGCCCUUGACUUUGUGAUAACUUCAGGAAACUCGGGCUAUUACCGGAUAGGAGCUCCUGCUGCAUAGUGGGGGUUGGAAAGUGUCGGCGGUUGGGUAUGGACUCGCGGCUUAUCAGCUUGUUGGUGGGGUAGUGGCUUACCAAGGCUUUGACGGGUAGCCGGCCUGAGAGGGUGACCGGGCACAUUGGGCCUGAGAGAGGGCCCAGACUCCAAUGGGAGGCAGAAGUGGGGAAUAUUGCACAAUGGGCGGAAGCCUGAUGCAGCAGCGCCGCGUGCGGGAUGACGGCCUUCGGGUUGUAAACCGCUGUCGCCUGUGACGAAGAGUGAGUGACGGUAAUGGGUAAAGAAGCAACGGCUAACUACGUG
rnacentral:rRNA from 1 species